rnacentral:rRNA from 1 species
AUUGAACGCUGGCGGCAGGCCUAACACAUGCAAGUCGAACGAGUGGCGGACGGGUGAGUAAGGUCUGCGAAUCGGCCCGAUGGAUGGGGAUAACUAAUGGAAACGGGAACUAAUACCGAAUACCAUAGGAUGUGCCCGGAUAGGAUUAGCUAGUAGGUGGGGUAACGGCUAACCUAGUCGACGAUCCCUAGCUGGUCUGAGAGAGUGACCGGCCACACUGGAACUGAGCCACGGUCCAGACUCCUACGGGAGGCAGCAGUGGGGAAUAUUGCACAAUGGGCGCAAGCCUGAUCCAGCCAUGCCGCGUGUGUGAAGAAGGUCUUCGGGUUGUAAAGUACGUUCAUCGGGGAGGCGUUACUCGCAGAAGAAGCACCGGCUAACUCCGUGCCAGCAGCCGCGGUAAUUC